AUACCAUGAUGAGGAUAAUGCCGAAGUAAUUCUUUGUAUCUUUCUCAAGCCUCAUACAACAAUUUAGAAUCUUCCUGCAUGAAUGAUGUAAUAUCAUUCCUCAUUUU
rnacentral:snoRNA from 1 species